CACUAAAAGCUGUACUGAAUCUGUCCUUGCCGCAAAUCAUACGUAAAUUAAAUUGUUAUUUUCGUCGUGCUAUUUUAAGGCACAAUGACAAGCUGAACAGUUCUUGGUUCAUUGUUCUUAAUUAGUUAUUGUUCUAGCUGGGAUAUAAAACUGACUCUAAGCGUGGAUAUUGUAGGGUCCUUGAAUAGAGUUGGCAAAGCCUGUUUUUCUGUUGUUAGUGUCAUGUUAGCAUGAUGGAAUUUCUGAAAGACCUUUCAGUGCUGUGGUCACCGGUGUCAUUCUCUGAGACCAGGAAAUCCGCACAAAAAUAUGUCCUCAAAAUAUCCUGAAGAUAUUUGUCAGAUUUUUCUUAAUAGAUGGAACUCAUGUGUCUUACCGGUUUUAAUGCACUGCAUUGAAACUUUUGGCUGGAUAUUCUUACCUUCACCACUCUCUGCUGAUGGCGUUAAAGUGCAUGAGAUUCUGCACUGCAAGAUCUGUUGUAUCCUUCCACUCAUCCGCUUCCGGAUAUAGAAUCCAGUCCAGAUGUUCCACAGAACCGAUCACCGGCAAAUUAAUCACCAGCAUUUCCUCCAUUUCCCAAAUACUGUUUCUGUCCAGUAUCCUGACAUGAGUUUAUGGAUUUCAGAUGGCGUUGGUUCUGCUAAAAUAGAUGGAUAUGGAUCAUCCAGCACAUGGACCUUCAAGCCUCCUUGUCGUAUAUAGAACCUCUUACAAAGAGUCCAGGGCUUUAGCCUUUUGUGGUGAUGAUAAAAAUGUCUGUAUUUGUAUUUGUUUCUGAACUGAUGUGUGUUAACUGAAAUCUCUCCGAAAUGAAAGGCAAUUUCAGCUGCCUAGUCUUGUUCAGUACUGGGAGAAGCCCAUGAGGUGCCCAGGGGAAGUUUCAGUGCAAGUGAUCCCAGUCGGGAGGGGUCAGCAGUGUAGCCUGCUGGGUGGGGGCAAUUGCUUCUACCCAGCAGCAUCUCAGAAGAUGGUGCCCUGGGCAGGGGGUCUUGCAGAGGGGGUAGUAAAUUAUUUUUUUUAAAUAAACUAUAUAUUUUCAGUUUCUUACAAACACUAAUAUAUGCAUGUUCUGUUCACAUUGGGAAAAAAGUAAACAGUAAAAAGAAAACCUAUGAAAUUGGCGGUUGAUCCGCCCUCACCCCUACCGAUUGGCUGGUAUAUGCAAUUUUUGUACGACGUAAACCUGCACCCAGUAGCAGCCCCAUUAAACCCAGUGCCGUUUGAUAAAUCUGAGUGGAAAUAAAUACUGCUAUUUAAGCUCAUCUUUUACAAAGGGAUGCAUGCAGACGCAUGCAGAUGCAUGCAUCAGAAGGUUGGCAACCCCUGACAUUGGAGGCUGCCUGUGUCUCCUAAUGGGUAGACUGGCACUAGUCUUGGCCUAAUCUUUUAUGUUAUAC